UUGUUUGUGUAAGGAAUUUUCAGUUUACUGAGGCUUUCGUCUUACAUGAGCAGUACAAAGACAUUGCAGAGAUCUUUUCAGAUGCCACGAGUGACUUCCCACUGUCAACUCAGUAUUUUGGGCUGAAGAUAUGACAUAGAAUUAGUCAGUCUUACACACUAUUUGAAAGGAAACCCACAUUUCACUCACAUUAGCUUUUACACAAUGUCCCUUUCCUUUUACAGAUGAAAGUGUGAAUUCAGCCUUCACUGUCACAAACUGUGUGCUUGAGUUUACCUCAUCAGUGGAAACUGCAGAAGUGAGCACUUCAGAGAGUGGAGGAUGAGCCUCUCCAUGGGAAAACCACUUUGUAAUGACACUGGUUCCCCUGCAAGAGCAUCCUCCAGAUCCUCACUGUGACAACCAUCCAUGAGUGUUGAGCUUGAUGGGAUGAGAUCAGCAAUACAGCAGCAAUUUCAGAACAGCCUCCUGUGAUUUUCUGAUCCAGGUUGCUUCUCCUCCAGGAGACUCUGAUUCCAUCAUCACCAAGAAUUCCCAGAACUACUUCAAACAUCAGUUCAGCACUCUCUCUGGGUUGUCAGCUCCCUACCUUCAAUGCUGCCACUGAGCCCUGUGUGAUUCCUUGCUAUGUGAAGAAAAGCCCAUUCUGGUCUUCUGAUGUGGUACCAUACCUACUGCUGUCGUAUUAUGUUAUGCCUCUUUCCUUGUCUUCCAUCGCCUUCAUCACUUUCUCACCAGAUGCAAACACAACUGAGAAAAUUAAAUGCCAGAAUUGGGAUGAACAUUGCAGAUGUUAAGGCAAGCAAGCCAGAUGCAAAAGACAAUUAUCUAACCACUACAGUUCAUGUCACAAGCAGUACUGAAAUACUGAUAGCAUGGCAGGAGGCACAAUGAGGAGAUGAAUCCUAAAGAAAUCUAGGAAGAAAUGGUUAGAACAAGAGGGGGAAUGAAUCUCAAAAGAAGGAAAUUGCAAAACUGGACUAGGCUCUUGGAAAGUUCCCAUUUCCUUCUCUAAGUGGAGUAUGCACAUAGAUGCUUCCUGAAUGGAGUCAUUAAAUACACUGUUCAUGUAUAUAAACUUAUAAGUAAGCUUUAUUUUAAAAUAUAAAGCAUUUGUAAAAGGAAAGGAAGUAAAAAAUGGUAAAAUGAAGAAAACAAAACCAACUGAGAUCUAAAUCCACUUCCUGAUGGAGCCUCUUCCUGGGUUACAUCCCGAAUUCCUCCUCAUGCUGACCCUGAUACAUGGCAUCUGUGAACCCCAUAGGCAUUUAUCCUGCAGCCUGUGUCUCUGGCAACACACAUCAGGUUCCUGCUCACUUUAUGCCUCCUCCUCAGCUGCCAGGGAAUCAUUUCCAAAGUCAGUCUUCCUUUAGAUGCCCUGUUCAUGGUGGGAUCACUGCCAUCUGCAUGACCACAAAUCCAAACCUGCCUUGUCACAGACUUGACAACCUCUAUUCCUAUGCCUGUAGAUCUCUGAAAUCUCUUGAAGGUUUCUGAACAUGUGGCCAAUGUCAUGUCCUCAUCAUUGGAAAUUAGGACUUCCCAAACGUCCCCACUAGAACCAGCCUUGCCUGGUCACAUCAUUGUUCUGCCGAAAAACCUGAAGAGCUUUUCUUUACUAAAAAGCACCACUGUUCUAACUGCCCUUACCCAACAAUGGAGAGCAUGACUCUGAUGGUCAAGUCAACAUAAACUUUUGUAACAGCAACCACAUAUCCAAGCCAACAUGAUUACUCACUGAUGCAUGACAACUCUGCCAUGGAACUCUCGUUUGGUACCUCUUUACAUGUCAUCAUAAGUCACCUCAAGUGGGACCCCUUACCUCUGAAAUGCACAGAGGCCUGUAUCUACCUCCUGAAGAAUAGAAUUUAUUCUGCCUCA